rnacentral:rRNA from 1 species
AGAGUUUGAUCAUGGCUCAGGAUGAACGCUGGCGGUCUGCUUAACACAUGCAAGUCGAACGAAUCCUUUCGGGGAUUAGUGGCGGACGGGUGAGUAACGCGUGAGAAUCUGCCAAAAGGACUGGGACAACCACUGGAAACGGUGGCUAAUACCAGAUGUGCCGCAACGUAAAAGAGGAAACUCGCCUUUUGAGGAGCUCGCGUCUGAUUAGCUAGUUGGUGAGGUAAAAGCUCACCAAGGCAACGAUCAGUAGCUGGUCUGAGAGGAUGAUCAGCCACACUGGGACUGAGACACGGCCCAGACUCCUACGGGAGGCAGCAGCCAGGAAUCUUGGGCAAUGGGCGAAAGCCUGACCCAGCAACACCGUGUGGGUGAUGAAGGCCUUCGGGUCGUAAAGCCCUGUUGAUAGGGACGAAGGGCGAAGGGUUAAUAGCCCCUAGCUUGACGGUACCUUUCGAGGAAGCCCCGGCUAACUACGUGCCAGCAGCCGCGGUAAUACGUAGGGGGCGAGCGUUGUCCGGAAUUAUUGGGCGUAAAGAGCGUGUAGGCGGUUCGGUAAGUCUGCUGUGAAAUCCUGGGGCUCAACCCUGGGCGUGCAGCGGAUACUGCCGGGCUAGAGGGUGGUAGAGGCGAGUGGAAUUCCGAGUGUAGCGGUGAAAUGCGCAGAUAUUCGGAGGAACACCAGUAGCGAAGGCGGCUCGCUGGGCCACACCUGACGCUGAGACGCGAAAGCGUGGGGAGCGAACAGGAUUAGAUNCCCUCGUAGUCC